AGUACAACACCUGUGGUGAAAUUCGAUUGUUCCAAAAUCCAAAUUCGACUGAAGAUAUCCCUUGUGUUUACUGCAACGCGCUAUAAUAUUUGGGCAAAACUAGGUUACAGAGAAUUGUGCUACUAUAUGAACAUCAUUUUGCGUAUGAAUCUGAUACAGUGUAAAGUAUAUGUUGCAUCUACUCCUGCAGACUCACUGUAUAGACAAAUUUCUCUUGAUCGGUAACGCAUUUCUUUCACUUGUUUGUGCCUUGGCAUGGCAUAUUUUCUUUCCAUAUAACUGAAUGCCGCGGAUAGAACUGUUCAGUAUGUCUUAUUAGUUGCUGCAAAUCCGUUUCAAAAAAAGGAAAAUAUUAGUUGCUGCAAACAACUUGCAUUGCUUCUCACAGUGAAGAUCUCUAAUUCUACAGCUAAAACUGAUAGUGAGUCUGAUAGCAAAAACUGCAUCCUCACAUUCUUUAGUGCAGUCAUGUAGCAGUAAUCUAGCAACCUUCUAGGUCAGUCCAUGUAGUAAUCUAGUGCUGAUGCAUUGAGACCAUGAAGUUUCCAGAAUAAUUGCCUGCCUGCUCGUUUGAUAGUGCAUUAUCUUCCGUGUAUGAAAGAACGAAACUGCUACGUAGACGAUGCAUGUGUGCACGACACUAGGACGACGGGCAGUCCAGCCGCUGAUAUGCGCUGGAUAGUAUGCAUGGACGGCUUGAUAUGUGCUGUCGUGCACGAGUCGUCCGCACGGCGUCGUGUGUAUAGCAGCGCUGAUGAAAGAAACAAGCUGAUCCGAUUCCUUUGAUUGAACAGGAUGUUCCUGGGUAGUGUGAGCAACUACUGCAUCAACAGCGUCGGCUGCCCCGUCGUGGUGAUCAAGGGCACCUGACCCAUCCUCGACCCAGCAGACAUUUCUUAUUGUGUUCCACACCAUGAUUCUUGAGGUUGCUACUGUGUUGUACGUACUCCUGUGCAAAUUCACUGCACACUUCCAAGACCGCCGUAUGGCUUGUGUUAUCAUUCAUGUUGUUUGUUAGUGCUUGGUUGGAUGAGGCCGAAGAACUGCUCUGUACAUUCCGUGCAUGGAGAUUGCCAAAUUGGUUCUGGGGUCCGUGGAAAUAAGAAUGCACAGCGUGCACGCUGUUUUGUAAAUUGAUCAUUGUUGUAAGUAUAUCAGCUAAAACAUGGUGCCAUGGGGCACAUGGUUUUGUACAAAACAUUGUACGCGGGGCUUUGUCCGAUCUGAUCUGGUUUGGUUUGGCCACUGCACAUGCAUAUGCUUGUCCCCAUGGCUAUCUUGUUCCUCCCCAGUCCCCACCCACCAGGGCACCGGUCUCCUUCGUUGCUUCCACUCGUUCUCCCCGUACCUUCCUCUUAUCCGCGCCACCUACGUUCCCGCUCGAGAUGGGGGCAGAGCUGCUGCUGCUCGGCGGGAAGGUGUCCGCCGGCGGCGCAGCAGGAUCUGGCGCCGUCGCUGCGUCCUCGGCGGGAGCCGGACGGUGCGUGGCCGGCGGGCGGCGACUCGCGCCGGUGCAGCCGGCGGCGCUGCAAUGGCGGCAUAGUAGUACGUGACCCACCGAAACUUUCAUCUCGCGAUACUUUACCUUGAUUUGCAUCCACUCACGCGAACUGAUCCAUGCUGGUGCACUUCAAUGGCUGCAAAUUCCAGUUUAAGAUGCAUUCAGUUAUACUACCUCCGUCUCAAAUUAUAAGACGUUUUUGGUAGCUACUUAGCCUACUAAACAUGUCUUAUAAUUUGGGACAGAGAAAUAAAAUGGAAUAGGUGUAUCUAGUUGAGGCGGUGUUCUCGGGGCUCCUUUCGUAACAAAUGAUUUUCCUAGGAAUUUUUCCUAUGUAAUAGUUGUUUGAUUCAUAGGAUUGAAUCCAAAUAGGCUUUUUUUCUAAGGAUUUCUUUGUACUACUUUGCAUGAUUUCUAGCAUCCAUUCAAACCUCUUCGAAAAUAUCUUUGUUUUUCCUAUAAUGCAAUCAAACAAGCCAAAAUCCUAUAAGAUUGAGAUAAAGAUGACCUUCCAAUAAUGUGUUUUUCAUAUUCACACGUUUUUAAAAUCCUGCGAAUCAAAGAGGCCCUUAGCGUUUUUGGUUUGUGUAUUUUUCAGUUAGCUAUAUUGUACUUUGGCUUUCCAAACACAAUAACAAAUUUCAUGCCAACUUUCAACAAUAGUUUGUAUACAAAGCUCAUCACAACACGGUUCAACAAUUGCAAUCGGAUCAGUGUUGGUGCCGACAAUAUGGAUGCAAAUUCCAGAGCCUUUAUUUGAUCACAAGAAAAGAAGGGGAAAAAACAAGUGUCCCAAGAUAAAAGAAAAACCAAGUGUCCCAAGAAACCAGAUUGAUAGUUCAAACAACCUGCAUCUCGCCCCAUUGGAUCUAAAUGUAAAACCAUACAACAUUAUAUGAUUUUUGUUAAUUGAGGUGUAUGUUUGACAUGGCUUCUUAUUCCCAACUGUCAUCGCCAAUCAUCUUGCAUUUGCUAAUUUAAAUUUCAAUGCACAAAUGAGUUUUAACUUGUGUUUGGCAUUAUAGUAGAUUAUACACAAUUGUAUCCGCUAAACUACUCCCUCCAUUCCUAAAUAUUUGUCUUUCUAGAGAUUUCAACAAGUGACUACAUACGAAGCAAAAUGAGUGAUUCUACACUCUAAAAUAUGUCUAUAUACAUCCGUAUGCGGUAGUCCAUUUGAAAUAUAUAAAAAGACAAAUAUUUAGGAACAAAGGGAGUAUAAUUUUGUCUGUUCUACUACUCCAAUGCAUAUCAUUUUUUGAACGUGCAACUAUUUAAAAUUGUACAACACAGUUCAAAAUCCACAGACUAUGUAGAGUCUAGAAUAGAUCUCUUAAAGAUAUUCUUAUCAACUAUUGUUGCAACUGCUCACAUCUUAUUGAAUUACCAAAUAAAUCAUAAUUUAGUUGGUAUUCAAUAAUUACUCAUUCAUUCAAUUUACAGCUAAAAUCCAUUGUUGGUACGUAAUCACAUACCCAACAAAAAUGGUAUAUAAAAUCAUGAUGAUUACAUAUAAAUAUAUUUUUUAAGAAACACAAAUGUGUACAUACAUCCAUCCUUAUGAAUACACACACAUUAUCCCUAUAAGCACCUCAAAGACUAAACCGACAGUGUUGAGAUUAACAAAGUCACCAUAGACGCCUCGCUAUCAACGAAAAUGUCGACUCUCACUGAAUGAAUAUUCUGUCUUUAUAAAACACCAAAGCGUCAAAUCUUGGAGCAACUCUAGCAGACCCCGCAUCCUGCCCCGACCUGCAAAAUAACCGUCAAAAUGCAGGUCGGGGCGGAAAAACCAGCCCGAUUAGACCCUACAUUCCGCCCCGGCCCGCAAAAAGUUUUAGGGGGCGCGGCAAAAUCCCGACCCCAACCCGGGAAAACACGUGUUUCCCCCUCGCGGCUGCGGUGCCCUGCAUAUAAGCGGAAGCGGUUGGUUUGGGGGGGGGGGACAUUUCAUCCCGCGCUUUCUCCCACCAACCACCUCUCCUCUCCCCCCGCGCGCCGCCGCCGGCCGCCGCCCAAGAUUCCGGCGGCAGGAGCACGCCGGAAGGCCGCCACACACACGAGGCCUCCCCUUCCUCCCCCCCUGCGUCGGCGGGCCGCCGGAUUUGCAGAUCUGCGGCACUUCAUCGUGGGCCACCGGAUUUGCCUUUUUCCGGCCGCCGGUUGCUGCCCCAGGCGAUGGAGUGGUCGGGGAGCCUCUCCCGCAACCCAGGCAAGGGCGCAUCACCGCAUGCAGGCACGGGUUCGUCCGCCCGCCGCCGCCGAAGGUUUGCAGGCACGGACUUGUCUGGCCGUCCACCGGGCUCGGCGUUCGCGCAACGUCUUUGUGGCCUGCCGAUGCCGCUCAUAGAGCGCGACGACUGCCCGCGCCAAGUGCUGCGGCUCACUUCGGGCACGCCGAAGCACUCCGGAUGGGUGUUCUACAAAUGCGAAAACGACGGGGUACGUGCACUUGCGGUACCUCGUUCCAUAGCUCAUUCUUUAGUUCAAUUGCGGUAGCUCACUUCGAGCUUGCUUGAUGUUUUGUGUAGGACGAUGAAUGCUCAUUGUGGUUUUGGGAAGGCCAAUACAUUGAUUUGUUGAUAGAAAGAAACUUAAUAGAUGUCAGUGCACUCCUUAGUACAAUCGAAGGCAAUGAUGCGGUAGCAUGUGCAACUAGAGGGGAAGCAACGUCUACUUCUUUGAAACCAGAGAUGAAGAAUGAAGAAAGCAAGAUCAAGAAUCCGUAGAUCAACAAUGAGUGCAUGGAGAAGAUAUUGCUUCAACUAGUGGGAGCAGUUAUGGAAGUUGAAAAUCUUCUGAAAUGCAUACUUGUGGUUCUUAUUUUCUUUGAUUUUGCUAUUCUAGCCAAGAUUUGGUGAUAUCUUUUGUAUCUAAUGUUGUUGCAAAAGCAAAGAAAAGCAUUAUGCUAGAUCAAUUUAAGUUGCAAAUCUAAGUUUUGCGGGCCGGGAGGAGAUGCGCCAGAUCAGAACCCGCAGAAGCCGACCCGUAAAAAAACAUAUUCAGCGAAUAUGCUUUUUACGGGUCCAUUAUACAGGGUCUGCAUCUGUGCCAACCCGCUUCAGCUCGCAAAAACGGUUUUGCGUGAACUGCAAACGCAUUUUGCGGGCCGGCGGGAUGCGGGGUCUGCUAGAGUUGCUCUAAGCACAUCAAAAACUAAACCGACAGUGUUGAGAUUGACAAAGUCACCAUAGACGCCUCACUAUCAACGAAAACAUCGACUCUCACUGAAUGAAUAUUCUGUCUUUAUAAAACACCAAAGCGUCAAAUCUUGGAUUUGAUCCUUGAUGGGUUGAUGGUACAGCUACCCUCCUAACCAUACAAUCACAUGUUAGUUUUUUUUUUGCGGGAAUCACAUUUUAAUUCUUGAUCACAUACCUUUUUUUUGCAAAAUGCCUUUUUUGGGACACACGCAUAUAUUGUACUUGAAGGAGAAAAGAUAAGGGCAUGACUUGGUCCUACUCGACUGAGAUUUAACCAAUCUCGGUCAAGUGACAUAGUAUAUAAGACAGAAAAAAAACUGAAAGAAUGUAAUUUUAUGAAUCUCUAUGCAAGAUCAACGGAAUAAAGCAUGGAUUGAGACAGAACAAAGUAUCAGUCGACCGAGACUAAAAGCAAAACUGAAAGAAUAAAGGGGAAACUCUUGGGGCAAAAGCCGUGUGCACGUUGCAAAGUUUUGUGAUAAGAAUAUACCCUGAAAUGUACUAGGCCGCACCAGCACAGAUCAGAAGCCACCACUGCAACGCUGCGCCGCCGCCGAACUGUGGAGAGGAGACGCGGAGGACGGGAAGAUGGGAUUCGAGAAGGAGAUCCUGAAAGCCGGCACCGGCCCCAAGCCCGUCAAGGGCCAGAAGGUCACCGUCCACUGCACCGGCUACGGUACGCCCCUUCCCUCCCCCGAACCCCUCCUCUUUCUUUUCCCUGGAUCCGUCGAGACGAACUUGGGGUUAGCGCUCGAUGCUUCCAGAUCUACCUAAAAGAGUAACCGCGGUGUCGAUUAGGCGUUGGUUUUCACUAGAUGUGAAAUUUUGGCUCUGUAGUUGUCAGCCUAGAUUCAGUUAGUGGUGCCAGUGUACCUUAUCCAGUUCCGGCUACCAUUUCUAGUAGAUUUUGUACUUCAUGUAAUGUGCUGUUUAAGGGCUGGCUAACUUUUGUUUCUUGCCAUGUUGCUCCUGCAGGGAAGGAUGGUGAUCUGUCUAAGAAGUUUUGGAGGUAAAUCAUGACUAGUUUUCUUGUUUUCUCGUGAUUCGCAGGCCAUGGCUUUGCGCCAGCGCUGUGAACGUUGUGAACAAACGCAGCAUUUCUCUUUCCGUGUUUUGUGUAUAAAUCUUUCACCGGGAAGGAUCGUGUUACUAUGCCUUGCAAACCAUAACUCUCGGAUGCAACUUUGCAGAAAAAGUUUUGCAUUUUGGAAAUUUAUCUGAUGGUGUUAUGUUCGUUUUUUCAGUACCAAGGACCCUGGGCAGCAGCCAUUCUCUUUCAACAUUGGUCUGGGUUCAGUGAUCAAAGGUGAUCUCGUUAUCAAAGUGCUAUUCAGUUUAUGCACAAUCAUUUCACCUGUAUGUUAUUGGCUCAUACGUUAUUAGUUCAGUAAUAAUCAAGGGGGUGCUGUUUACUCGGUCAGAAGACUCCACAAAGGAAUAAUUUCGAGAUGUCUCCAUUGUUUUACAACUAAAUAUAGCAUAUUCUCGCUUAAAAUUAGUUUGGAUUGCUGCUGAUGCGUCAAAACACAAGCUCAAUGCUCUUUGAUUUGUGUUGCGGACUUGAGACCAUCGGAGUAUCUACUGAAAAUCAUGAUAUAGCUGCAAACAUGCACUGUUUGCCUUAUCUGUCUAUGUUGUUUACCUCUGUUCGUACCCUCGUUAUAUUUUCUCUUGUUGAAGUUCUCCUAUAAAGUCUUGAUUCAUGCUGCUAACAUCAUAAGACCACCAAGUCAUGUUUCCACUAUUUACUUAUAAAGUAGAGCCUACAUUUUGAUGACUUGUCCAGUAUAAUGCCACACAUGUAAAUUAUGCUACACUAGAUUGUGCAAGUGAACUUUUGGAACUAACGUAACAGUAACUACUUCCUUGCUUACAGGAUGGGAUGAGGGAGUUAUGGGCAUGCAAUUGGGUGAAGUCGCCCGUCUUACGGUAUGUUUCUUGGGACAUGUCCAAUCAGUUUGAUGUGUUUGCAUGCUUGCUUGUGUGUGGCAAUUUCUUCAUUGAUUCAUCUGGCACUUAAUUACUAGUCAAUUUCCAUUGUAUUGGAUUUUUUAAAUGCAUCUCGCCAUGGCAGAAGUGUGUCUAAAACAGCUGAAUUUGGAUUAAUGAGCCUUUCCAGUGCCAUAUCAUAUUCAUGCCUAAUAAGUUGUUUGCCAAAUGAAUCAGUUGCAGUGCACUGCAGAUUAUGCUUAUGGAUCUGAUGUUCUAGUGUUUGUGUUGCAGUGCACCCCAGACUACGCUUACGGUGAAGGUGGCUUUCCAGCCUGGGGAAUUCAACCAAACUCCGUGCUGAUAUUCGAGAUCGAAGUUCUUAGCGCCAAGUGAUGCGCAGUGCGAUUCAUGAUGGAUCUAUAGAACACUGCAGCAUCGCCAUGCCUCUCGAUUGCAAAAAUAAUUGUAACGCCACAUCAUGUUAAGUGCCACAUUGUGGUGAUGUUCCAAGUGCAUCGAGUGAAACUUUUGGAACCCUAUUAUCCUUUUGUGAUCCUGGUACUAAGUUUCUGGGUGCCCUUGUCGCAAAAUUUACGUUGAGGGGGUCAUUACCUGCGAGGGAUCAAGAGAUAGCGGUGGGGUGAUCCUGUUUGAAUCCUCAGCUUCCCUAUGAGCCCAGCCAACAGUUGAAUCGCCUGAGACCAGUUCGUUCGCUCGUUUUUCUCGAGCGCACAUUUUCGUCUCAAUUAUGUAGAAGUUCGUCUAAUUUGCUGUGAAUUUUGUGGGUUUCUGAGUUCCAAUGCCCAGAAAGAUGCUAAAAGGGCCCGCCUAGAUAUCCCAACAAAUUUCAUUACUCACAGAUAAGUCUCAUCACAUUCUGCACAUUAAGGAAAAACACAGUCUAGACGUGACCUGUUUGGAUUUUGACUCUCAGAACUGGCAAAAAUGAUAACUGAUGUUGAAAAACACAUCUGCAGUAACUGAAGCGCAGAUGAAACACCAGGAAUAAAAUAGGAUUUGGCAGAGACUAGAAAGCAAAAUGCACACUCAGAAAAAAGGAGGAAAAGGUAAACAUACAAAGGGGCGGCAAGGAACAAAAUUCAUGAAAUUUUAAUUUUAAAAAUUGACAAGGGCCGCGCGAACACAUACCCCUCUAUCACAAAUUACGACAUCCACUCUCCCACUUGAGGAGAUGGUAGACCAACACACUCACCAAAUGCAAUGUGAGCCAUUGAUCUAGGCCAUGGCCCUUCUUGAUCAGCCAUCGACCCCGUCCAGGUAAGUAUGUUGCAAGGACGCACCUAGAGCUUCUUAUAUAGGUGGCUCCCCUUCCCGUUCUCCCUUCGCUCGGCGAGGUGGUACUAAACUAAACUAGAGCGUCGUGGUCCAGCCGUGGGUGAACGGUCGUGGGCCUCAUUCUGCCUGUGCGAACCUUUCAAACGGGCUGGUCUGGGCUGGGCUGAAAGAUGUGAGUCCACCACAGAUGGAUUGUCAGGCCUCGUGGGCUAAGGUGUGACAACGUUUUUUUCCCUAAGAAAAAAGGCGUGCUUUGUCUUUCCUUCUCUCCCCCUAAAAAAAAGUCUUUCCUUCUUCGAUCCUUCUUCCCCACUCCCACCCGCUCCGAUGGACCCCGCAGCGGCGCCGCCGCCGCCGCCGCUCGCGGUACACCUGGUCACCGGCGACGCGUCCUCGCCGGCGCUAUCCCACCUCCUCCAGUCCCUCGCGGCCGCCCGCAUAGUCGCCUUCGACGCCGAGUGGAAGCCACGCCGGCGUGUUCCUUCCGCCCCCAGCGACGACGCCUCGCCAGCCCCCCCUAAUCCGACGCAGUUGCCGACUGUUACGGUUCUCCAGAUGGCCUGCCGGGGAGAAGACGGGGGCAACGAGGUGUUCGUCGUCGACCUCCUCGCCGUGCCGCUCGCCGACCUGUGGGCGCCGCUGAGGGAGCUGUUUGAGCGGCCCGACGUGCUGAAGCUGGGGUUCCGGUUCAAGCAGGACCUCGUGUACCUCUCCGCCACCUUCACGGCUGCCCUCGGAUGCGACUCUGGAUUCAACAGGGUAGAGUGCCUGUCGUGCAAAUUGUUUUAUUGCUUUCUUGACAAGAUUGUUCACGAUGUUCCGGUAGAAUACCCAGAUCCCUUUCUCUUAGGCAACAUUGUUGUAAGUUGAAUUGGGUUGAAGCUUUGAAGACUUUGUCUGAUGUUUAAUUUAUCAGCUACAUGAUCACUGCUGUCUCUCAGCUGGUUUUGGAACAACGAAUUAUGUGUCAAAGUCCUCCCCAAAACAAAUCUGCCCAGGAUCAUUAUGAGCCAGAUUGAAAUUUCUAAAGUUGCUCCUUGGUACGGGGGAUUUCAAGAAUCAGCCCUAAAACCCCGAAUGGAGGGAGUAAUUCGUUGUUCCAAAACCAGCUGAGAGGCAGCAGUAAGCAUUAAUAUUUUGUGAGUAACACCGCCGUCAUUCGUCUUGCAAGGUGGAGCCUUUCUUGGAUGUCACCAACGUUUAUCACUACCUCAAGGGGCAUGACAUGCAAAAGAAACUUCCAAAGGAGACCAAGAGUUUGGCUUCAAUAUGUGAGGAACUGCUUAAUGUCUCUUUAUCCAAGGUUAGUCUACAUAAGUUCGUUGCCUUCAUGUCGGGGACUUGCAUUUUAACAUGGCAUGGUUGCGUUAAUCGCCAAGUUCAAUUGCCAUAUGAAACCAACUGUUUGGCAAACAUUUGCAGAAUUGCAGGGCAGUAGAGAUUGACGUAACUAUAAACCAGCGGGAAUGUAGGUGUAUAAUAGCCUUGUCAAAUCCAACUAGUUUUGCUUAUUACUAACUUACUUGAUUUAAAGCAGUAUUCCUUACUAUACAGAUCAACAUAUCAGAUUAUAAAUGCCUGUCUCCUUUGGUUUACUUGAAGCCUUGUUCAUAACUUCCAGUUAUAGUAUUCAUACGUGGCUAACCAACUUGUGGUAUCCUCUCUUGGCACCUGUGACCAGACACAUCACAUGAGCAAACCUUGAGCAAGUCUGGCACAAAGGCUCAUAACAAAGUGUCAUAGGGGUGUUGAGCUCAAGCCUGGUCGUAUGCAAGUUUGGUUGCUAGCUUUCAUUUUCCUCACAUAGAUGCAUCUUAAUGUGAGUUCUUUACCUGGGCUCACAUGAUCAGCAUGCAAAUUGAUUUCGAGCUUGUGGUCCAGUUGAACUCGAGUUUAAUAUGGAACCAAAUUGAGCUUCUUGGUCUUCCUGCCCAGCCCAAGCAGACAAAUCAAUCUUAUUUCUCUUCCUUGUUUUCUUCACUACCAAAAAAUACAAUCCUCGCAUUUAUCUGUUACAGCAGCAGUGCCUUUUAGUUCCAAACAAGUUGGGGUAGGCUAAAGUUGAAACCCAUAAGAUCUUGAAACCAAUGCAUUUAUCUGUUAGCAUUAUUAUUUUGGGAUAUUUACAUUUCUACCCCCGACUCGAACCAACUACUCAUAUUUACCCCUAACUUUCAGACCUACCCAGUUUUGCCCCUAUUUCGUUGUGUGGUGUUAUAGAAAUACCCCUGAGCAACAUUUUUGUCAGGCCUUCUCUGCUUUCUAUGCUUCGCAAUGUUCCUCUGUAGCUGCCAGUGCUUUCUAUUCUUUUGUAGCAUUCCUGAAAAUAAUUAUUCUCCCUGAAAACAUAAACACCAAAAUAUAGGAACUGCCAUACAUGGAGAUGCUUGGGAUGCUACAAAAGAACUGAAAGCACUGGCAACUACAGAGGAAUGUUGCAAAGGUUAGAAAGUAGAGAAGACCUGAAGGAAACAUCGCUCAGGGGUAUUUCUAUAACACCACACAACGGAUUAGGGGCAAAACUGAGUAGGUCUGAAAAUUAGGGGUAAAUGUGAGUAGUGGGUUCAAAAUUAGGGGCAGAAAUGGAAUUGUCCCUAUUAUUUUAAGGGUUUACCCAGUUGUUAUCCUUAUUUUUUGCACCAGGAACUCCAAUGUAGCGAUUGGUCAUGCCGACCCUUGAGCGAAGGGCAAAUACAAUAUGCUGCAUCAGAUGCCUACUACUUGCUAUAUAUAUUUGAUUUGUUCCAUCAGAAGGUCAGCAUUGAAGGUACCUUUGUCAUUCUUAACGCAACUGAUUUGAUCAUGGGAAUUUAGUGUUCUUUUCUUUGCAUUUCUUGUACGCAAAUAUUAUUUUCUCAUGAGAGUUUUAAGUGCUUAUCAUUAAUAAGAGCCAAGAAGAUUUAACCACUAACAAUUUUUGCAUUAUUUAUUACUACUGCAGAAAAAUGUUCACCAACGGCUGAAGCUUCAGAUGAACAUUGCUCACAAAGGGCAAGUGAUUGUUCAUCGUCAGGAAAUGACAUUUGCUUUGAUGGGUAUUCGACAUCCAUCAUCACGAAGUACAGCGACAGGAUUUUGUUGACAGAGUCAGAUACAAAAGCCCGUUCCUCAAGACGAAAAGAAAAGCAAAAGCUGUCGAGUGAUGCCAAGUGCAAAGAGAAGUUUGAUUACAAUACUGAAUGGAUGGGUCCCCCUCCAUGGGAUCCUUCCGUUGGUGGAGAUGGAUACCCAAAGUUUCUGUGUGAUGUGAUGGUAACAGUUUUCCUAAUCUCACCAUCUUCGACAAGAGUGUGGAUUUUGUUUGUUUCUUAAAAUACCAUUGUAUAAGAUGAACACGAAGUAUGACAGAUUUUACCACCUUAUAUGUUAGUCAAGUACCCAUUUUGUUCUCUAUUUGUAAAGGCUGCUAGAUUUGAUGUGAACAAAACUCAACAGAUUGAGGGUCUAGCUAAGCACUUGAGAUGUGUUGGAUUAGAUGCUGCCACUCCAUCUUGUAAAAAACCUCAACCAAGGUCUUCCCCUAUACUUUCAAUACUCCUAAUGUAGUUUCUUAUUAAGGGAUUUUUUUGUUAAUUUUUUUUUUAUUUUUUUCUACUCAACUUUAGGGAAUUAUUAGAUCAAAUCUACAAGGAAGGAAGAAUAUUACUAACACGAGAUGCCAAACUCAUAAAGUAUCAGUAUUUGGCGACUAAUCAAGUAUACAGAGUGAAAAGCCUGCUCAAACAUGAUCAACUGGCUGAGGUAUGUGCUUAUUUUGAUAUGUUCCAUCUUCAGGUUGAUCUGUCUGCAUGAACUUCUGGAAAUUAGUGUAAAUUGGCCUUUAUGGAUGAAAACAUUUCUUUCCUUAGUAUUUGCCCACUCCUUUUUAGAUUUUGUGCACAAAGAACAUUUUAAAACCUCAACCACUAAUAUUCAAAAACUAGUCAAAGUGUUUGAAGUUGUUAUUUGCGUAUGAUACUACUAGAUUUGUCAUAAAAAUGCUUUUGUCUCACUGUAUUUUUUAUAACAUUUACUAGCAUGUAAAUACAGAAAUCCUAUGAAAAGCAAAUGCAAAUACAGAAAGUAAUGGUCAAAGCCACAAACGAGCAUACUGGAGACCAUGCCACGUCCAAAAAGACAAGUUAACAAAGGAACCGAUGUAAUAUUGUAAGUGUUGACUUGAAAAAUAAUGUGGAAAUAGAUCAAUGCUCAUGAAACAUCUAGAAGCAAUGACUUGAAGUAAUAAAACCAAAGAUCACUGUUUACAUGUGAUACUCUGGCAGUUGUCACUUCUCUAGCAGUUGUCACUUUUGAUUUAGUCAUUUACUUGUAUCUCUAUCUACUACUCCCUCCGUUCCUAAAUAUUUGUCUUCUUAGAGAUUUCAAAUGGACUACCACAUACAGAUGUAUAUACACAUUUUAGAGUGUACCCAUUUUGCUCCGUAUGUAGUCACUUGUUGAAAUCUCUAGAAAUACAAAUAUUUAGGAACGAAGGGAGUACAUACUUUUAAAACCGAGGCAAAAAAACUCGCAAAAAAAAAGAGAGGGAAAAGCUUUGCCUAUUUCAUUGAUUAACAAGGAGUACAGUAAAAAGAAUUUAAAAAAACGUGUUGCCCUCCAACUCUGCAAACCGCCCUGACAGCCAGACCCCACCGCCGACGCACUCGUCUGGCCUUACAACACCCCUGCAGCUGUUAGUGGACUCUGGUUGCACCCUGCCACUUGAACACAAGUUCUCUGAGCAUCCCGCAGCUACGUAUCCAAGCAGUCCAUGCUGAGAAGUCAGAUGCGACAGUGAUGGAUUGACAAGAAUGUAUUGGGCUCUGCGCUGCCGCCCUUACCCAUGGAGGCAGCGGAAAGGGGAAGGGAUGGUAGGGACCGUAGGGUGAGGAGUGGACGCACCCUUGGCCACUAGCUUUGCCAAGGAGGCGAGAGAGUGAUAGGGGAGCCUGAGACAGAAUCUUUUUCUAGUAUUUAUAUUUGUGCAUUGUGCAAUAAGGGAAGGGCGGAAAGAGAUUCCGAAGCCCGCUGAUUCGUCUGUUUAACUUGCUUGUUGCAGGUGAUUGACACCUUCCAGUUAAAGAUCUCUGAGGACCGAUUAAUGUCAAGAUGUACAAAGUGCAACGGAAGUUUCAUUCAGAAACCAUUAACGCUCGAGGAAGCCAUAGAAGCCUCCAAAGGUUUUCAGGUCAUCCCCUCAUGCCUCUUCAACCGAAAUAUGGAGUUCUGGAAGUGCACUGACUGCAACCAACUCUACUGGGAGGUACUAACUUUGUCCUAUGUUCCAGUUUCCACCUCUGAAGUAGUACUUGCUAGUAUCGGCGCUGCCUCCUGUAUCCAACCACCUCUUUUACAAUUUCCGCAGGGAACUCAGUACCACAACGCAGUUCAAAAAUUCAUGUCAGUCUGCAACAUUAGUGAGUGAGCAUUGUAACAUUUCAUUCUCAAGACGCUCAUGUUGUUUUGUAUGUGAAAUUCAACAUGUAGUAGGAAACUGCUCUUUCAAUAAUGUCACCAUCUAUGCCUUCGGACAAAUCCCAGUCGCAAUUUUACUUUAUGAUGUACAGUCUACAGUAUUUCAUAUGGUAGUAACACAUAUGCAAAUCAUAUGGUAGUAACAUAUAUACAUUGAUUACCGACAACUGCCUCGUUUGCAUCGUUCUGCUUCGAUGAAGUUUUAUUGUUCUUGCAGUGUUCCUCAGAUAUCUGCAUUGAUUCCGAAAAGACGGACCUUGUGCAUGUUUUAUUUGUUCGUCAGCUUAGCUACAAAAGCAUUUGACUGAUUGUGAUCGGUCAAGUGUGAUGCAAUCAGACACAUACAAUGGAAGCAUAUUUAGAAUUUUCCACUCAAAAUACUACAACAAGAAUAACAAAGCCUGUGCCGAACAAGUUGAGGUAGGCUAGAGUUGAAACCCAUAGUUAUCGAAAUCAAGUCAUGGUUCUGGCACUAGGAUAACUAACUUCCACGCACCCCUCUCCAUGGUUAAAUCUUAAGUGAUAUUCUUGUCCUUAAGAUCUCUCUUUACGGACUUCUUUCAUGUCAAGUUUGGUCCAUCCCGACCUCUCUUGACAUUAUCAACACGCCUACCCAUCCGCUAUGACGCUUCUGGAGGCCUGUGUUGUAUAUGCCCAAAUCAUCUCAGACGAUGUUGGACAAGCCUCUCUUCAAUUGGUGUCACCCCAAUUCUAUCAAGUAUAUCAUCAUCAUGGACCCAAUCCUUUCUUGUGUGGGCACAUAUCCAUCUCAACAUGUUCAUCUCUGCUACACCUAGCUGUUGGACACGUUGUCAUUUAGUUGGCCAACAUUCAAUGUCAUACAACAUUGCAGGUCGAAUCGCGGUCCUAUAAAACCUACAUUUUUUUACUUUCGUGGCACUCUCUUAUCAUAGAGAACGCCAGAAGCUUGAUGCCACUUCAUCCAUCCAAAAUUGAUUCGAUGGCUCACAUCUUCAUCGAUGUCAUCAUCCUUCUGCAUCAUUGACUGCAAAUAUCGAAAGGUGUCCUUCCGAGGUACCCAUCAAGGUACCCAUCCUUCUGCCCAUCCUUCUGCCCAUCAAGGCAAACUUCCUCCUCUUCAUUAUAGGAUCAAAUAUCGACCAGAAGGGUGGAGAGGGGUGGUGUUAAAUUGGGGAUACAAUAAUUUCUUUGAAAAACAAUUUUUCCAAAGAAAAACAGAGUACACAAAGAGAUAACAAAACUGUAUAGAGAGAAAAUUACACAGAACUGGAAUAACUGAGAGGAGCAACAAGCUAGCUAGGGGAAUGGCUAAGUAGCAGUACAGAUAGCAAUGUCACUGACAAUUGUACGCCUGUGUUAAUAAAAAAAAGUUUGCUCGCCAAUUAAGAUUCCUAUUCAUAGCCUAUAUUUUUGUGUGUGCUAAAGUCAGUCCAUUUUGUUGCCAUGCUAAUCAUGCCAUCUGCACCACCAGAGAGGCAGAGAAUAAGCAGCAUUGGCAAUUGGUGAGUUUCUGUUCACUUUAUUUUUGUUGUCUCGCCAAUCAUGUAAUACAUGUAUUUUGUUCCUUUUCUCUCGAGGACUAAAAUAUUUUACAUAAUUUUACUGUGUCACAUAAUGCACCUGUUUUACAGUAUGUAAAUUUGCAGUUAAGCAAUGGUUGUUUUCUCACUUAGAUAUUGUAAGCUACAUCGGCUGCGUUAUACAACAAAAUCAUAGUGAAUGCACAAGGGUCAGGAAUCACAGUGAAAGAAGUUCAAGUGGAAGAUAUUCAACCACUUGUUCAGUAAGGAACUUGCAUAUUACCUCUUGCAAAAACACUACUGGAAUACUACAAUGGUUUAAAAAUGCACUAAGUGUCGAUUGCAUUUAUUGGAGAUAAACCUGCAUUUUUUAUGCCUGGCCUCAGAAAGUGUCCCCAACAACUAUAUUGCUAGAUUUUGCCGGAAAUCAGCUGUAUUGCUAUUCAUUACAACAAACGGAGAGGUAAUCAUCCCUACCAUGCUUAUGCAUCCCAUAGUUCAUCGAAUGUAUCUACAACAUGUUGUCUUCACACUGAAGUGGAAGAUUCAUAAUGGAUGAGCAUCUGGUAGAUCUCCUGCAUUGUUGGCCUUGCUUGAGGGGAAGCUUUCAAGCAAGAAAAUACUACCCUGAUUUGGAAAACUAUGUUUUUCUCUUCUAUUGUUGUUGGUGCUAAAGGCCGUUGGUCCAAGAUUUCUUUGACUAGAGUAUAUGGCUCUGUUGAUGAGGCAAGAUGUUGGAGUAGAUCUCUUGGAUGCUUCCCUAUCAACACCUCUAGCACAAGCACACCAAAGCUGUACACAUCACAUUUCUCUGUCACAACAGAAGUGUAGGACAACUCUGCACCAAAGACAAGGAUCAGCAUUAGAAGUCAAUGGAUACAUACAAUUAUUAUGCUACAAGAAAGUGUAAACAAGAAGCUAUGGAACCAUAAAAGCGGAUAAAGGAAGAGAUAGAAAUAGUUUUAUGUCAAAGGGAGGCAUAUCUGUACCAGGAGCAAUGUAGCCAUAUGUCCCUGCUAGUGCACUCCAGUUUGAUGUAUCAGGCUUCAAAAUCCUUGCUGUACCAAAAUCUGAGACAUAAGCCUUAUAAUUUGUAUCAAGCAGGAUGUUGUUGCUUGUGAUAUCUCGAUGAAUUAUAGGAGGACUACAGUCAUUCUGCAAAUAUGAUAUUGCCUGGGCAACAUCAUUUAUAAGGGCAGUUCUCUUAUGCCAAUCCAAUCCCUUGGCUAAUUCCUCAUCUUGUAAAAUCGUGUGGAGACUUCCACGCUGAAUGUAAUCAUAGACAAGAAACUUGUACGUUGGAUGGGAGCAAAAUCCAUAGAGUUUGACAAUGCUUCUUUGUCGAAUCUGUGUUAAGAUUUCCAUUUCACUGUGAAAUCCUCUCUCAUCAAUCAACUCUUCUUCUGUUGGAUGGAAUUUCUUUACAGCAACUAGCUGCCCGUCUUCGAGUUGUGCCUUGUAGACUUUUCCAUGUCCUCCUGCUCCAAGGAUGUACUUGUCAUCAAAAUUUUCUGUUGCCCUGAUAAUAUCAUCAAAUGCUAGUCGUCCAUCAAAAUUCCAAACAGAGAACAUGUUCCUCCCCUCAUCUGUAGCACCACUUUGUUGUUUCUUUUUCUUGCUACGUAUAAGAAUUGCAAUGAUAACAAUUGCAGCAAUGGUGGAAAACCCCACAACAAGAACAAUUGGCAGGAGGAAACUUUGUAUCUUUUGUUUAUGGCGACCAGAUGCUGGAGUUGAGUAACAAGGUAGCAGUCCAGAGAAGUUACCGCACAGAGCUUUAUUGUGAAGAAACCAAUUUAUUGAAGCAUUUUGAAGUGCAUGUCCUAUUGGGAGUGGUCCUUCCAAGUCGUUGUAGGACACAUCAAGCGUCGAUAGGCUCACCAUGCUUGCGAAGGAGGACGGAAUGCUUCCACUGAACUGGUUAUGGGAUAAAUUAAGAAAUUCCAGCAUCUCCAACUUUCCAAGUUCUUUUGGCAAGACACCUUCAAGUUUGUUAUUGCUGGCAUCUAACAUCAUCUGUAGGCUUGCUAAAUUUCCAAUUGCACCAGGCAAUUUUCCAGUGAAGUUGUUGGUGUUGAUCUUCAAGAACAAUAGUUCUAUGCAGCUUCCCAAUUCCUCUGGUAUUGAUCCACUCAAACUGUUUUCAGAUAGGUCAAGGUGUCCUAAAUUUCUCAACUUCCCCAACUGCAAAGGUACAGGGCCUGAUAACUGAUUGAGUGACAGAUUCAAGAUAUAAAGAUUUUUCAAAUCUCCAAACUCUGGUGGAAUCCAACCAGUUAUGUGGUUAGAAUCGAGUGUUAGGUCUACCAAAUUGGAUAAUUUUGAUAGGGUGGGAGGUAUUUGACCAGUAAUCAUGUUUUGUCCUAGCUUGAAUUCCUUUAGUUGGGGGCAGUCUCCCCACUUUGGUGCAAUGCUCCCAGAGAGUCUAUUGGAUGUCAACCAUAUGUGCCUAAGUUGUGGGUAAACUCCAAAAUGGUGAGAUAUAUCUCCUGUCAGUUGGUUUCCGUCAAGGUGAAGUCCAGUCAAACUUGUACAGGUCUUUAAGCUCCAUGGAACUGAGCCAUUGAACAUAUUCAGAGACAUUACAAAAGCUGUGAGACUGCCGCCGGUACAUAUAUUCAUAGGCAAAGGUCCAGAAAGGGAGUUAUCAGCCAGAUUAAGGCCGACUAUGUUCUUGAGAUCUCCAAAUCCCUGAGGAAGAGAUCCCGUUAAUUUGUUAUCAUUCAUGUUCAGACGUUGGAUGUUUUGUAGGUUUCCAAAUGUUUUGGGUAUUGAGCCAGAAAUUUUAUUCUCGUCCAAGAACAAUGUUCGGAGGUUCACCAAAUUGCCAAUUUCCUGUGGGAUGGUGCCUGUUAUCUGAUUUCUAAAAAGGGACAAUAUUAAUAAAUUAGUAAGGUUUCCUAAGCUGGCAGGAAUAGAGCCAGCGAUUUGGUUGGCUGAUAGGUCCAAAUUCGAGAGAUUUAUCAGGAUGCCUAGUUCUGGGGGUAUAGAACCCGUUAGUCGAUUUUUAUAGACACGAAGUAUGUUCAGCUGAGUGAGGUUGCCUACUUCUGGAGGUAUCGUUCCUGUUAUUUGAUUUUGGUAGAGAUCAAGUUUGUUUAACAUGACUAGCCUUCCUAUUUCAGCGGGGAUGGAACCUGUGAUUUGAUUUUUGACGAGAGAGAGUUCAUUUAACAUAGUUAGAUUGGAUAUGGAGAAAGGGAUUUGAGCGGUUAGUUUAUUUUCAUCAAGUUGAAGGAAUUGCAGCUUGGCUAGCUUGCCUAGCUCAUGGGGUAUCGGCCCCGACAGUUUGUUACCGUACAGUAACAGAACAUUUAGCUGGGUCAGGUUUGCAAGAGUUGCGGGUAUGUUACCACUUAAGGCGCUGUUGCUUAGCUGUAAACCCUGCAGGCUGACAAGCCUCUCUAACUCGUUCGGAAUGGGACCUGAGACCAUGGUUUGGUGGAUAACAAGGUAAAUCAACACUGUCAGGUUGCCUAGGGACGCAGGGAUAUGUCCUGUUAGGUUAUUGAAGGAGAUGUCAAGUAUGGUGAGGCUAGCCAGUUCGCCGAUCUCGUGCGGUAUGUGGCCUCUGAGCUGAUUGAAGCUAAGGUCAAGGGUUGAGAGGGAUGAUAGCGAGCUGAUAUUAGGCGGUAUUGGACCACGGAGGCUAUUGUUGCCUAGAUCGAUAUAUGUGAGGAAUGGGAGAGCUGUGAAGUUGAGCUCACCAAGCUUGCCAUGGAUGCCGGCAUCUGGCAGGGAGAUGCUGGUCACGGCCCAGGGCAUGCUGCGGCCAUGGCGAACGGCCGUGCACAUGAUCCCCGUCCAGUUGCACAGGCCGCUGCUGCUGCUGCUGGUGUCCCGCCAGGAGCUCAUCUCCGCUGCUGGGUUUGCGAGCGUUGAUUUCCAGUGGAGGAGGGCCUUCUGUUGGGACAUGAGUGAUAUGCCACCAUGACGUGCUGCUGCGUGCGCUCGUUGCAAGAGAAGGGGACAUGAUGGCAAGACGAGGAGGCAAAGGCAGAGCAGGGGUGUUGAGGCAGAUCGCAUUUUGCUUUGCAUCUGGAUCUCGUGUGCUGGGGUAUGGGGGGUUAAUAUGUGGAGUAGUGUCGUACUGGAGUGCAGUUGUCCGUUGCUCUCAGGGCUUCAUUGCAGGGCCAUCAGUGGGUGGUUUCCUGGAAACACCAUGGUUCUUGACUUGUUGAGCGUCGUCUUUUUGACCCGUCUCCCUCGUUUGACAGGGCAGGAUGACAGACUGAUAGUGGCAUUUAUACGACGACGUCCUCAUACACCAGGCCGGCAGCACCAUAAGUUGGCGUGGCCAUGAGUUUGGCCACACGGUGGUGAGAAGCUGUAGCUAACUUUGGCCAACGCAUCAUCGCCAGCGAUAUUCUGUAAUCUGAACAAAUAUGUACUACUCCGUAUCUUCUGACAUCAACAGCUUAAUCUGUCCAAUGACAUGAGGUGCACAAACUAAAGGUGAUUGAUUUGUCUCAGCCCACCUCUAAGACGAUUGGUAAAGCAGAGUACUGAUAGCAUCUCCAGCCGUGGCCCCAACAAGCCCUCCCCAAACGUUUUUGCCGUGUCGACGUUCAAAAUUCGGCCCAGUCGCGCCCCCAGUAGCCCCUUUUUCGUCGGCUCGGGCCGAAACUGGUGCCGGCGGACCUAGGCCGAACCCGGCGCGCCUGGGGGCGCCGGCACAAGCGAAAAGGGGCGUGGGCCGCUCUGUCGGUGAGUCGAGAGCCUCUUCUCGCCGUUUCUUUCCGCCCUCGCCCCUCACUUUCCUCUGAUUCUCUCCUUUCCUCCCGCCAAUCUCCCUCCCGCUCGCCUCCCAGUCACCGCCAUGUCGCCGAAGAAGUACGUGAUCCCCCGCGCUGCGACCACCGCGACCGCCUCCGUCGCCCAGCCGAAGCAGAGAAAGCCGAGGGUGCCGCCGUCCAAGCCAUCGGGCAUGACAAACGUCGAGUGGAGGGCGGAAGUUCAGCGACGGGAGGCUGUCACCGCCGACCGGCGGAACAGGGCAAUCGCCAAGAAGGCCCGUGACAACGCGGCGCGUGCCGCUGCGGCUGCGGCGGACCAAGCCGAGGCCGAGGCGAUUCGCUUGGGGAUGAUGAAUCCACCAGGCGGCCACGCCCAGUACGUACCCUGGAGCCAACAAAGCGUCGGCUCUCUGUCCGGCUUCUCGUCAUCGCCGCAACCAUGGGGAUGCACGCCGUCGCCGGGCUACGUUGACGGGGACGCGCACGGUGGAUUCAACCCCAACGUCACCUUCCCCAUGGACACCCAACCCAGCGCAUGACCUCGCCCGCCUUCGCCGGCGUGCAGUACCCUCCAUACAACUACUCGCCGCCGGCUUACGCGUGCUCCCUGACGCCCCCUCUCCGCCGUGGCGCGCUGCCCUUCUCAUAAGCUUCCACGUUGCACCUCGGCGACACUGACGAGACUAACGCCGACAUGGACGACAUCAUCAUGACAGGCUCGGCCGUGGCCGCCGCGUCCCCCGGGUUCGCUACCCAAGACGACACGGUGGACCUCAGCGGUGGCAUGGACGGCGAGCUCGAGUACGGCGAGGAGGAGCCGGAGGAGCACGAGGAGGAGGAGCCGGCGACUGUCCCGGCGAGGAGGCGCAAAAAGAAGAAGGGGCGGCCAGGACCGGCGAGCCGCGCAUUAAGUGGACGUCCAAGGAACAGGAAUGCCUCGCCGAAGCGUGGAAAGUCGUCUGCCUCGACCCGACCAUCGGCACAAACCAGAGUAUCGAGACGUACCAGGAGCGCAUCAAGGCCGAGUUCGACGAGCGCAAGCUCGUCGACCCCUACUUUAAAGGCGUCUACAUGCAGCGCGAGGCGAAGGCAUGGCGAAUCAUUGGGGGCUCAUCCAGGCGGCGUGCAACAAAUGGCAUGGGAUCGUCGAGGAGAUCGCGGCUUGCCCGGAGAGCGGCGCCAACGUCGAGGAUCAGGUACGGCACGCCGGUCUCCCGCUUCUAUUCGCCGUGCGCGCCCGCCAACUGUUUGUUCCUCCGCGUAGCUGGUGCGCAUGUUCGCCUUGUAUCGCCUAGGCAACCGCGACCAAGAGUUCAAGUACCUCUAUGUUUACAAGCGCAUUGACAAGUUCGAGAAGUGGGCGGAAGUCUGGCGUGCCCUCGACAAGGCCAAGGAGACCUACAAGCCGUACGCGCCGACGGCGGGCGCGUCAGAGGGGCGGCCGGACGGAAACAAAUGGGCCAAGAAGGCGAAACACGUCGACGCGGCUACCACGCGGGUGCAGGAGUCCAUCGAGCAUUGCCUCACUGAAGCACAGGCCCGGGCCGUCCUGCAUGAAGAGAAGACCGAGGCGCGAUGGUCGGCAUUGAUGACGAGCAGCGCCGUCAAGCUCGACCUACUCCGGACCAACGUCGCCACGAAGAAGAGGAACACCGACCUGGCUUUCCUGUUGGGCGGGGCGGACAUGCUUCAGAGCAACGACGAGGCGGUCAAGGCGUGGUACUUGGCGGAGCGUGGUCUCAUCCUGAACCAGCUGCCGUCAACGGCGCCGCCAACUCCUAUGCCCACGCCGCCAAGCCCGAGCGAUGAUGCCUCCACGACUCCCCGCAGCACAGAAGCCACGCCGACGCCGCCCAGCACAGAAGAAGCUCUGACCCCGCCAAGCCCGCGCACACCGACUCCGCCGACGCCAGAGGUCGACCUCGUCGUCUGAUGCGCUGCACGCACGUCCUUUCUUUUUGAAUGCCGAACUUUUUAUUCGAUCGUCGAACUGUGGCCGCAUGAUCGCUGGAUUUUUGGCGUCUAUUUUGUGAGCGGGAAUGACUAUGUUUGAAUUUGCCGCGGGUUGGGGGGCGCCUGGGGCGUGGCUGGAAGCUAGGUCGCCCCCAGAGGCCGAUCUAGCGUCGAUUCACCUUAGGGCGCUCUUUUUCAAUGCCCUGUGGGGCUGAACGACUGGAGAUGCUUUGAGAGAAGAAUUUCAUUUUCCAAGGGCCCAGAGCACACUAGUAGAAGCUGACAGGCCGUGGCUGGGCUUUUCCAGCGCAGCAAGCAUGAAAGCCAAGGGCAGUAAGGAUGGAUGACUUCUGUGUAGUGUAGACGUGUAGUCAACACGGAAAUCUGCUUUUUCUUCUUUUCUCGGUUGUUCCCCCAAAACAUACUAUCAAUUUAUCCAACGGAUCCACCUGCAGUACGACGGUGCACGAUGCCAGCUCACCCGUGAUUUCGCAUAUGCUUCCUUUGAAAUUAGUUGUGCUAUUUUUUCUCAUCCCACAGUUGGCCGUUUGGGGAAGAUAUCACAUAAUACCAUGAUGAGAGCUGCUAUACGUACUAUCAAAUCAAAAUCACUAAUUAAGGAGUAAUUGAAAUCACUAAUUAAGGAAUACUCGUUGCAAAGAACACUUCAUUUUUCUAGGUCAUGACAAGUGACGCAUAUGCAGCACGCCACUUGUCGCAAUCCGGGAGUUUUCCCUUUUUUCGUAGAUUUGUUUAUUCAAAACGUUUUAUCUCUUAAACCAUGCGUCCAAAUCUUGAACCGUUUUCACCAUUGGAUUCCUCGCGUCGAGAUCUUCAAACUAGAUCCCAUGUUGAUAGAUAUUGACAAAAUUUUUUUUCACGAAAAAACCCAGUGAAAAAACUGAACCGGGAGCACGGUUUUUUCCCUUUCCGAAAGAGGCACGCCCGUGCCUCUCGCAAAAUCACAACCGUGCCUCUCGCGAAAGCAAAACCGUGACUCUCGUGUAAGGAAAAAAAACGGAAAACGCGUUUUUUUUUCUGUUUUCCGAGAGGCACGACCUUGACUCUCGCGAAAGCACAACCGUGCCUCUCGAGAAAGAAAAAAAACAGAAAACACGUAUUUUUUCCCUUUCUGAGAGGCACGGUCGUGACUUUCGCGUAAGCACAACCGUGCCUCUCACGGAAGCAAAACCGUGACUCUCACGAACGAAAAAAAAA
rnacentral:lncRNA from 1 species